UUCAGAAAACAGUUUGGAGGGAAAAAAAAAUAAUACAUUAUCUGUGAUUUAAAAAGAGCAUGUUUUCUCAAAAUAAAAGGAAGUAACCUAUCUAAAUUCUUGUCCUAAAAUGCACGCUUAUGAUUGGUUAUUAAUUUGUUAUGGUUUAAUUUCACUUUUCUAUGUUAAUGCGAUCCAUUAAAUGUCACUUAGUAUUUUGAUGUGUAUAUUCUAAUGUUCAAAAUAAGCAGAACACCAUCGGGAGCUGUUUGCAUGAAAGAUUUUAAUCUUAAUGGCAGUUGUGUUUUAGCUCAUUUUAUUAGCAUGCGUAAUCCACUUCUUUAGAUAAUUUCAUUGGAU